GAGGGUAUAGCUAAAAGUGGUAGAGUGCCUGCUUAGCAUGCACAAGGUCCUGGGUUCAAUCCCCAGUACCUCCU
rnacentral:tRNA from 1 species